UUACAGCCAUAUCAAAUCGAAACACUGUUUCUCAUAUGAUCACCAAAGUUAAGUAAUGUCAAGCCUGGUCAGUACCUAAAUGGGAGACUGCUUGGGAAUACAAGGUGCAGUA